UGGGGAAUAUUGGACAAUGGGCGAAAGCCUGAUCCAGCCAUGCCGCGUGUGUGAAGAAGGUCUUCGGAUUGUAAAGCACUUUAAGUUGGGAGGAAGGGCAUUAACCUAAUACGUUAGUGUUUUGACGUUACCGACAGAAUAAGCACCGGCUAACUCUGUGCCAGCAGCCGCGGUAAUACAGAGGGUGCAAGCGUUAAUCGGAAUUACUGGGCGUAAAGCGCGCGUAGUUGGUUUGUUAAGGUGGAUGUGAAAUCCCCGGGCUCAACCUGGGAACUGCAUUCAAAACUGACUGACUAGAGUAUGGUAGAGGGUGGUGGAAUUUCCUGUGUAGCGGUGAAAUGCGUAGAUAUAGGAAGGAACACCAGUGGCGAAGGCGACCUCCUGGACUAAUACUGACACUGAGGUGCGAAAGCGUGGGGAGCAAACA
rnacentral:rRNA from 1 species